rnacentral:rRNA from 1 species
AGUGAACGCUGGCGGUAGGCCUAACACAUGCAAGUCGAACGGCAGCACAGGAGAGCUUGCUCUCUGGGUGGCGAGUGGCGGACGGGUGAGGAAUACAUCGGAAUCUACUUUGUCGUGGGGGAUAACGCAGGGAAACUUGCGCUAAUACCGCAUACGACCUACGGGUGAAAGCAGGGGAUCUUCGGACCUUGGGCGAUUGAAUGAGCCGAUGUCGGAUUAGCUAGUGGGCGGGGUAAAGGCCCACCAAGGCGACGAUCCGUAGCUGGUCUGAGAGGAUGAUCAGCCACACUGGAACUGAGACACGGUCCAGACUCCUACGGGAGGCAGCAGUGGGGAAUAUUGGACAAUGGGCGCAAGCCUGAUCCAGCCAUACCGCGUGGGUGAAGAAGGCCUUCGGGUUGUAAAGCCCUUUUGUUGGGAAAGAAAAGCAGCCGGUUAAUACCCGGUUGUUCUGACGGUACCCAAAGAAUAAGCACCGGCUAACUUCGUGCCAGCAGCCGCCGCCGUAA